AGGAGGCAGCAGUGGGGAAUUUUGGACAAUGGGCGCAAGCCUGAUCCAGCAAUGCCGCGUGUGUGGAGAAGGCCUUCGGGUUGUAAAGCACUUUUGGCGGGAACGAAACGGUUUGGGCUAAUAUCCUGGGCUAAUGACGGUACCCGCAGAAUAAGCACCGGCUAACUACGUGCCAGCAGCCGCGGUAAUACGUAGGGUGCAAGCGUUAAUCGGAAUUACUGGGCGUAAAGCGUGCGCAGGCGGUUAUGCAAGACCGAUGUGAAAUCCCCGGGCUCAACCUGGGAAUUGCAUUAGUGACUGCAUGGCUAGAGUGUGUCAGAGGGGGGUAGAAUUCCACGUGUAGCAGUGAAAUGCGUAGAGAUGUGGAGGAAUACCGAUGGCGAAGGCAGCCCCCUGGGAUAACACUGACGCUCAUGCACGAAAGCGUGGGGAGCAAACAGGAUUAGAAACCCUGGUAGUCCA
rnacentral:rRNA from 1 species